UCACUGACCAGCCAUGCAAAAUGCUCAGUAAUAUUUCCUGUACUUAAACAAAUAUACAUCUGCACUUCUAACAUAGCCUUUGAUAAUUGUGUCAAAAAUGUCUGUACAGGCAAAAAUUAUUACACCACCUGCAGUUUAAAAAAAAAAAA